rnacentral:rRNA from 1 species
CGCUGGCGGCAUGCCUUACACAUGCAAGUCGAACGGCAGCACGGAGCUUGCUCUGGUGGCGAGUGGCGAACGGGUGAGUAAUAUAUCGGAACGUACCCUAGAGUGGGGGAUAACGUAGCGAAAGUUACGCUAAUACCGCAUACGAUCUAAGGAUGAAAGUGGGGGAUCGCAAGACCUCAUGCUCGUGGAGCGGCCGAUAUCUGAUUAGCNANUUGGUAGGGUAAAAGCCUACCAAGGCAUCGAUCAGUAGCUGGUCUGAGAGGACGACCAGCCACACUGGAACUGAGACACGGUCCAGACUCCUACGGGAGGCAGCAGUGGGGAAUUUUGGACAAUGGGCGAAAGCCUGAUCCAGCAAUGCCGCGUGAGUGAAGAAGGCCUUCGGGUUGUAAAGCUCUUUUGUCAGGGAAGAAACGGUGAGAGCUAAUAUCUCUUGCUAAUGACGGUACCUGAAGAAUAAGCACCGGCUAACUACGUGCCAGCAGCCGCGGUAAUACGUAGGGUGCAAGCGUUAAUCGGAAUUACUGGGCGUAAAGCGUGCGCAGGCGGUUUUGUAAGUCUGAUGUGAAAUCC